rnacentral:lncRNA from 1 species
GCAAUGCCAGAUCUGAGCCACAUCUGCGACCUACACUGCAGCCCUCGGCAAUACCAGUUCUUAACCCACUGAGCCAAACCAGGGAUCUAACCUGUAUGCUCACGGGCACUAUGUCAGUUUCUUAACCUGCUGAGCCACAGUGGGAACUCUGACAUUUCUUUACCUUGUUAAAAUUAGGUGGUUUUAAGACAUCUUUCCAAUGUCACAGGAAAGUGAAAGGUGCAAUAUUUUCUCACAACACCCAAACAACUUAAUAUCCUCAUCUGCCAACUUCCAAUUUCUCUAAGGGCAUUUUAAUUUUUUCAUUUUUUUGCCAUUUUUUUUGGGGGGUGCCGCACCUGUGGCAUAUGGAGGUUCCCAAGCUAGGGGUCUAACCAGAACUAUAGCUGCCGCCUUACAUCACAGCCACAGUAACGCCAGAUCCAAGCCGAGUCUGCAACCUACACCACAGCUCACCGAAACGCCAGAUCCUUAACCCACUGAGCGAGGCCAGGGAUUGAACCUGCAACCUCAUGGUUCCUAGUCAGAUUUGUUUCCGCUGUGCCACGACGGGAACUCCUCUAAGGGCAUUUUAUUCAGGCUAAGAAAAUACAGGAUUGAAAGGAACAUAUCCCUCUCAAAUUCUCCAUUUUUUUCACCAAACAAAAAAGUAUGGUACCAGAAAAGAAUGGUCUAAGUCUGCUACAGAGAGAUGCAGAUACUCUUGCUAGAUUUAGUGCUGUGGGGGCGUCUAAGCCACAGAGAACCUUCACCACCAAUGUUCAUUCACAUACAAAGCCGAGAAUGAGCUGCACCAGGAGGACUAAGCCCAGGCAGAAGAGCGCUGACCUGGAGUGCAGGGAAGCCAGCCAAGAAGACUCCUAGUGCCCAAGGGCUUGAGAACCAACCAGCCAAGGCUGCAUGAACCCCGCCUCAGAAAGCUGCUGCCCAGGCCCCCAGACAGAGCAAAUCACAGCAGCUCUCACUCCCGAAGCACCAACCCUGAGCCAGUCCUCUGCCCUGGAAUCACUUUCCUGCAAGCACUUCACUGCAUUGAAACCUCACCACCACCCAUGAUGCAUUUAUGAAAUGGAAACUGAGGCUCAGAGGGUGAGAUAACAGAGUUGAACCCCUGCCUGGCUCACUCCACAGCCUGCCCUGUGAACCACUACAGCCAACGAAUUUAUCAAUGAGCUGAGAGCAGGCAAGGUCUCAAUUUGCAGAUAUGAAAACUAUUAUGCUCUUACCCAGAAAAAGGCUUCAAGCCUUAGAGACACUUCCUUUUCCUUCCAGUUGUCUUUUUCUUUCUCAUUACAUCGCCUCAGAGGGUGCCUGAAGCAAACGGAAGAAGUAAAAUGGACAGAGUGGCAUGACUCCGUACCCUUUACCAUGAGGCAUUCCUCUUGGGGAAAUAUAUGCCCCCCAAGGGACUCCCAUGGAAAAGCAAUCUGCUUAAAGAUGUUGGCAGCACGAUUAUUUAUGCCAGGACCGCAGAUACAGACGGCCAACUUUAAAUUACACAUGAAUUUUCAGGGGCACAAAGCCUUGGUGCCCCUGACCGCCGGCUUGUUCAAGGGUAAAUUUACUACACGGGCUGUUCAAAGUGAGCAGGAUGUGGUUAGUCCAUUUAUGUGGAAUGUAAAAUGACAAUAUCGCUAGAUAUUUUAAAUGCAGUAGUAUUUGCUCAACACUUAAAACCCGUAAAACAAUCCCACACAGAUACAAUCUGAGAAGCAGAAUCAGAGAGGUGCAUGAGAACUCAAUCUGCCAUAGUCUGGGGAUUAGUGAUUGCAAAGCUGCUGGAGAAACACAAACUGUAAAAAGUCAAAACAGAGACUGACAAUAGAUUGCUAUGUGAUCAGAGAAACCUGUAUUCAUGUCAACAUCACGUCCUCUGACCACUGUAAUUAAUUUCUUAAUUUCUGUUAUUAAAAUACCUGUUUGCUCUGUGGCUUCUUGAGGACGGGCUUUCCAAUAAAAUCAGCAGGAUCCCUGGGGGAGAGUAAUGAGGUAUGAGGUUCUGCAUCAGUGCUGCUCAGGACACAUUCCUUUAAUCCUUUUUGUUUAUUCUGUUCCCUGCAUUUAUGAACUUUCCAAAUCCCUUCUACUUAAACCAUAGCACUAAACCACUAAGAUGAAAGACAUGAGGAAUUUUCUCAAGAAUGUACUUAGUUUUAUGUCUGAUUGAUGUGCUUACAGUUUCAUACAUUAGUAAUUUGCUGAAUGAACCUGUACCAAAUAAUAUGCCUGAAAACUCAUCUUUUAAAAUGUGUUUUGUCAUAUUUUAAAAUAAUGAUGGGAGGCUUCCAUUACCUCCAGGGUAAGAACAGGUUUUCCUGGCCCACUGCAGACUUUGCAUGUGUUAAGGGGUUUCUGAAGCCAAGGGACAGAAGCCAUGGUUUGCCUAGGGGUUUAAAUUAUGUUUUAAACAGUAUUAGAAAGAGGAGUUUAAUGAAAAGUGUUUCAAUUAACUGCUGGUCAGUUAACAAGAUGAGACAUUCUCCAGGACACCCUGGCAAUCAAUGCAACUCCAAAAGCUGGUGGCCGUCAGAAGCACAAUAUGCACUGACCCAUCACCUGGCCUCCAAACAGGGUGAUGUCUGGGAAACAGACAGCACCAAUCUGGGUCUCAGCCAUUCCAGGAACCUGUUUCAUGGGCCACUGCUCUGUGCCAUUCGCUGUCAAUCAUUCCUUCCACCCUCCUUCAAAAUACCAGGAUUUUUAGGACCUUUCUGUCCCCAAUACCACCACGACCAUGAUACCCCCUAAGCUGGACAGAACUCAGACGGGCCACCUCAGGACAUACCUGGCUUCUAUAACAGGUAAAAUCACAGAAAAGGUAGCCUCUAUCCUUCUUUUUUAAAGUCGAUUUUAAUUAAAUUAAUCUUAUAGUCUUUCUCCUUUGAUCUGUCACACAUUUAACUUGGGAGUCAAGACACAACAACCUGAGGAUGAGUUAUUUUUAGAAGUAAUCAGCACUACAUUUUAGAAUUCCCUGGAAUUUAAUAAAACUCCAGAUUAAUCAUUUCUACAUAAUAUUGUCAGCCGACAAUAUUAAUUACCUUACAUGUGCAAUCUGGUUUGAAGUCCUUCCAAAGCUUCCACAUUUGCUACUGAACCCUCACCACCCCCACAGCAAGUAAAUUUCUUUAGUCAGCCACAUUCACAAACACAUUUUACAAAACUAACCUCUCCAAUAUGAGCUCUGAUGCGAGAAUAAUACAAUUAAGCCAGUGUCAUCAGCAAAAAGUCUGUCCUAUAUUGCAUAACUCCAUUCAACUCAACUGGUGGCUACCAAGUGCCCAGUAUACACUAGGCAACAAGCUCUCGAGUCAGGCUUCCUUAGGGGGAAACAAAAACUGACAAAACCAAAAAUUUAACAGCUUUAAGUAUGUUUCUCAAUAUUGAACAAACAAACAAAAAAACCUAGUUCAUGAAAUCCACAAGUCCAGGUACCAGUGAUUUGAAAGAUUUCACUGCACCUUUCCUUUCCUUAAGCCUAAGUGACGUCUGGUUUCACAGAAGCAUCUCCAGAAGCGGCAUUAACUUUUCCUCUGCCAUUAGG